CUACGGGGGGCUGCAGUGGGGAAUAUUGCACAAUGGGCGCAAGCCUGAUGCAGCCAUGCCGCGUGUAUGAAGAAGGCCUUCGGGUUGUAAAGUACUUUCAGCGGGGAGGAAGGGAGUAAAGUUAAUACCUUUGCUCAUUGACGUUACCCGCAGAAGAAGCACCGGCUAACUCCGUGCCAGCAGCCGCGGUAAUACGGAGGGUGCAAGCGUUAAUCGGAAUUACUGGGCGUAAAGCGCACGCAGGCGGUUGGUUAAGUCAGAUGUGAAAUCCCCGGGCUCAACCUGGGAACUGCAUCUGAGACUGGCAAGCUUGAGUCUCGUAGAGGGGGGUAGAAUUCCAGGUGUAGCGGUGAAAUGCGUAGAGAUCUGGAGGAAUACCGGUGGCGAAGGCGGCCCCCUGGACGAAGACUGACGCUCAGGUGCGAAAGCGUGGGGAGCAAACAGGAUUAGAUACCCCAGUAGUC
rnacentral:rRNA from 1 species